GCCGGGGUGGCGGAAUGGUAGACGCGGCGGUCUCAAAAACCGCUGGCUCAUAAGGUCGUGCGGGUUCGAGUCCCGCCCCCGGCACCA
rnacentral:tRNA from 3 species